rnacentral:lncRNA from 1 species
UAUUUAGUUCAAAAUAUAUCUGAAAGAUGUUGAUCUAUGUUGAAAGCAAAGUAUUUCCUAAUAAAACAUUUGUGUUGCUGUUAAAUCAGUUUGAUACAAUAGCUCGGGCUCGUGCUCAAAUGCUCCAUAUUUUGUAUGAGUUAGGAAAGUCAAAUCAUCAAUUUCGAUUUCGUUUCAAUAAAGUAUACUUACGUGAUGCUUACACAUUUGAAGACUACAAAAUUUUGGAUAGUUCAGUUAUUAAAAUGGUUCCUAUGGCAAAAAUGAGGCGA